rnacentral:rRNA from 1 species
AUUGAACGCUGGCGGCAGGCCUAACACAUGCAAGUCGAGCGGAUGAAGGGAGCUUGCUCCUGGAUUCAGCGGCGGACGGGUGAGUAAUGCCUAGGAAUCUGCCUGGUAGUGGGGGAUAACGUCCAGAAACGGGCGCUAAUACCGCAUACGUCCUGAGGGAGAAAGUGGGGGAUCUUCGGACCUCACGCUAUCAGAUGAGCCUAGGUCGGAUUAGCUAGUUGGUGGGGUAAAGGCCUACCAAGGCGACAAUCCGUAACUGGUCUGAGAGGAUGAUCAGUCACACUGGAACUGAGACACGGUCCAGACUCCUACGGGAGGCAGCAGUGGGGAAUAUUGGACAAUGGGCGAAAGCCUGAUCCAGCCAUGCCGCGUGUGUGAAGAAGGUCUUCGGAUUGUAAAGCACUUUAAGUUGGGAGGAAGGGCAGUAAGUUAAUACCUUGCUGUUUUGACGUUACCAACAGAAUAAGCACCGGCUAACUUCGUG